AUGGGCGUGUUGUAUGUCUCAGUUGAGGCCUCCGUUGCGGCCACAGGUGCGGCGGGAGGAGGUAUGAUCCUGCGGGAUGACAGAGGCGAGAUCAUCUACAACGCAUGUAGGGAACUACGUACAUGCGACAACGCUUUAGAGGCGGAGCUAGCAGCGUGCAGAGAAGGCUUGGAGCUGGCCUUGCACCGAUCUAACCUACCUAUUCUGGUUGAGUUGGAUAGCGCGGAGGCGGUGUCGAUGAUUACAGCGCGCGAGAUGGAUAGAUCGUCACAUCGUGCACUUAUAGAGGAGAUUCGUAGGUUGGCUGGAAACGAUGCUAGGGAGAUCUCUUUUACUCUUUGUAGCCGUCUGCAGAACGGGAUUAGUCAUGAGUUGGCCGCCUAUGGCCGUAGAACUCCGCGCACAGCAGUCUGGCUUACUGCCGGGAUGGACUUUGUUGUAAACCUGGCUCUCGCUGAGAAGCCUCCUUGA
rnacentral:rRNA from 1 species